CUUUACACUUGUUUUCUAACCAAUUGCUGUUCUUUCUGAGUAGUUUGCUGUUUGAGAAGAUAGAACAUGUGUUGCUGGAUGCAUGCAACAAUGCAGCAAUGGAAAAAACUGGACUAUCUUGUCAGGGCAUACAAGAUCCUGGAAGUAAAGGAGAAACUACUGAACACAUCAAGAAUAAAGAAAGUGAACUGCUAAAUGG